rnacentral:rRNA from 1 species
AACGAACGCUGGCGGCAGGCUUAACACAUGCAAGUCGAGCGCCCCACAAGGGGAGCGGCAGACGGGUGAGUAACGCGUGGGAAUCUACCCAUCUCUACGGAAUAACGCAUGGAAACGUGUGCUACUACCGUAUACGUCCUUCGGGAGAAAGAUUUAUCGGAGAUGGAUGAGCCCGCGUUGGAUUAGCUAGUUGGUGGGGUAAAGGCCUACCAAGGCGACGAUCCAUAGCUGGCCUGAGAGGAUGAUCAGCCACACUGGGUCUGAGACACGGCCCAGGCUCCUACGGGAGGCAGCAGUGGGGAAUAUUGGACAAUGGGCGCAAGCCUGAUCCAGCCAUGCCGCGUGAGUGAUGAAGGCCCUAGGGUUGUAAAGCUCUUUCACCGGUGAAGAUAAUGACGGUAACCGGAGAAGAAGCCCCGGCUAACUUCGUGCCAGCCGCCGCGGUAAGAC